rnacentral:rRNA from 1 species
UGGGGAAUUUUGGACAAUGGGGGAAACCCUGAUCCAGCCAUCCCGCGUGUGCGAUGAAGGCCUUCGGGUUGUAAAGCACUUUUGGCAGGAAAGAAACGUCAUGGGUUAAUACCCCGUGAAACUGACGGUACCUGCAGAAUAAGCACCGGCUAACUACGUGCCAGCAGCCGCGGUCAUACGUAGGGUGCAAGCGUUAAUCGGAAUGACUGGGCGUAAAGCGUGCGCAGGCGGUUCGGAAAGAAAGAUGUGAAAUCCCAGAGCUCAACUUUGGAACUGCAUUUUUAACUACCGGGCUAGAGUGUGUCAGAGGGAGGUGGAAUUCCGCGUGUAGCAGUGAAAUGCGUAGAUAUGCGGAGGAACACCGAUGGCGAAGGCAGCCUCCUGGGAUAACACUGACGCUCAUGCACGAAAGCGUGGGGAGCAAACAGG